rnacentral:rRNA from 1 species
GACGAACGCUGGCGGCGUGCUUAAUACAUGCAAGUCGAACGGAAAGGCCCGGCUUUUGUGGGGUGCUCGAGUGGCGAACGCGGGAGUAACACGCGAGGAACCCGCCCUUGACUUUGGGAUAACUUCAGGAAACUGGGGCUAAUACAGGAUAUGAGCUCCUGCUGCGUGGGGGGGGUUGGAGAGUUUCGGCGGUGGGGGAUGGACUAGCGGCUUACCAGCUUGUUUGGCGGGUAGGGGCUGACCACGGCUUUGACGGGUAGCCGGCCUGAGAGGGUGACCGGCGACCUUGGGACUGCGAUACGGACCAGUCUCCUACGGGAGGCAGCAGUGGGGAAUAUUGCGCAAUGGCCGCAAGCCUGAUGCAGCAACGCCGCGUGCGGGAUGACGUCCUUCGGGUUGUAAACCGCUUUCGCCUGUGCCGAAGCGUGCGUGACGGUACUGAGUCAGAAAGCCCCGGCUAACUACGUG